AGCGCAGCAUGUUCUGGAAUGAAGAAGCUUUGAAAGAGGCUUGCCAAAUUACCUGAACGACCAACAAUUGAGAGAAAUUUCUAAACUGAUCGUGGACGAAUGCGGCAGUGCAUCGUUUCAGCAAGACGACGGGGAAAUUGGCAUCAGUGACCUUCCACAUCCAAUCACUGCGUGUAUACUGCUUAGCCUGGAUAUCAUCACUCAGUUACGAGCAAGCCGGGUGUGCAUGUUGUGGACGCUUCUUCUGGGUAGAAACAUAGUAAUCAUCACGUCGUCCUCGAUCUGCGCCCGAUCCGCC